rnacentral:sRNA from 1 species
GCCAGGCAUGGAGGUGCACACCUGUAAUCCCAGUGACUCAGGAGGCUGAGGCAGGAGGAUUCCAAGUUCAAAGCCAGCCUCAU